GUUGUUGUUGCGCAUUCUGUUGGCCUCCUAGUUUGUGGACGCGCGCGUGCUGUCGGCUCGGGGAUCUCAAGGUGCAUCGCGAGCACCUGUGACAGGUUUGACAAUCAGCCUACAGACGCGCGAUUGAACGCAACGCCGCGCGGGCUCCGCGCGCGCCUCUGCCUGAACCUUGCGCGGCGAAGUUGCGCUUAUUUCCCCGGGGGCGGAAAGAGACCGGGUUUCUCUUUGGUCUGCCCAUAUGCUAAUCCGGAGAGGAGCGAGACAGGCGUAACUCUGAACGGAUCGCGCGCGCGGACUUCGGAACAAUAACUCAUCAAUUCGCGGCGGGACGCGGUUUAAGCGCGAGCUGCUUGAGUUUCCGCGCACGUCCGCGCGCGGGGGACCGACGGGCAGGCUCGAUCACGGCGCCAGCGCUGGGCACUCGGCGCGAACCCGGAGAACAAGUUGCGCGCUUGAGCGCCCGGUCACUCCGGACGAACGCCAGUGGCUGUUUUUCAACUAAUCGACGCCGGCUCCCGUCGUGACGUGGUUAACGGGAAUAGUUCGCGCUUCGAGCAAACGCACUGCCGCGAAGACCUCUGCUUUUUGACGUUUGCUUGUGGAUUAGACACCGCGGUGUCGCGGAUGACCCCCGGGUUUCGGCACUCAGAGAUGAGAGCUCAUCACUGUCCACUAAAAGGAAAAAGAGACCUUGGGAAUCAGUGAUAAAACACGGAAAUGAACUGACCUCAGAUCAGGAGUCGGAAGACGAGCGGAGAGUGGGAGUAGCGAUGGUGGUGGAGGAGUGAACCCGGAGCAGGUGAACACAGCUGCGGACCGCCAUGGGCUCUCUUCCAUUGGUCCCGACUCUCCGUCUUUGGGUCUCUGAGAGACGGCAGGGGCCAGCCAGGGAGCGUCGGAGUGGGCAGGCGAGGCAGCUCGCUUUCCCCGCCGGCUACCGGCUCCUCGGCAGCGAGGAGGGAGAGAAAUCAAUACUGAGGAGAGAUGCUGCCAGGGGUCGCCCAACGCUGCCUCCAGCCAUGGAGCCAUGGGAGCCCGAGUGUUCGGCUUUCUCUCUCUCGCAGCCCAAUCUCAGUCAACUCGCAUCAGCUAAAGAGAGGGCCAACAGCCUUGACGCUCUUCAUGCAACACCGAGUGUGUGUGUGCUUGCGUGUGGUUCUGCCAGAGGGCCUUUCCAGGCUCGGCAUCACUUGAUAAAACUUUGCCUGCUGGAGAACAAGUAGAAAAAGAAUGUCAAAGGUCUUUCUUUCCCCCAUCUUUGAUUCCUAUUUCGCCAUGAGUGCACAUUCCCCCUGACUGUUGUAAUGAGUGCUUGACGGAGAUCUCUUUUACGCUAAAUCAAGAGGCCUUCUUUUUUCAGUGGUCCUCCUCCUAAGAAUGCACAAAGUGCUCUACAUCUGAGAGAGCAGUGUGAAUCCUUUUUCCACCUGGUUUUACAUGAUUUUUUUUUUUUGAUGGACGCCCCUAUGCGAGAGGCUUGGAAAAGGACUCGGCCUUGAUUUGUAGGUGAAGCGUUUCACGCUUAGCCUUCCUGGGCACUUUGUAACCUCUUUCACCCUUGACCGUGGUACUUGAUGGGUAUUAAUAACGGUGCAGACCAAUCGAGGACAUUGCGAGAUGGAGAAGUUCCAAAAAAAGUUGCUCCCGCAAGGCUGCAGAUCCAUUGGGAUGUGGACAACUGAAACACGGCCUGAACUAGAUACUAACAAUUCAGAAAGUGGAGUGCUGGUGGCAGUGGAUAGUUCCUUUAUCCUUGGAUGCUCAAAGGGAAAUCGGAUUCGGUUUGGGACUAAAUCUUGACACCAGGACCACGGACCAUCGAGACGUUUUUCCUGUUUUUCUUUAAUCACUAACGGACAUAGCUGGUUUUCGUUAAAACCGUUGUUUUUGUUGAAUCGCUUUUUUGCCAUCCAGUAAGUAUUUUUGGACGAUAAAGGUAAGUUUAUUUUUUUAAAGAAGAGUUUUGAAAUGUUUGAAGACAAGGGACAGUUAAUAAUAAAUGAGACUGACUUACUGCUAAUUUAAAUGUUUGAUUGAACUUAGGGAUGGAUGGAUAUUUAUAU